CAUAUGUUGAUGUACUGCACGCUGUUGUCUCUGAUUAGCACCCGAGAGCUGUGUAGGGAGCAGCGCACACUAAUUAAAGACAUCCAGAGGCAGCUCCCCCAGCAGGCGCUUAAUGACGGAGCCAGUCGACUCAGUGAUUGCAUCAAUACCCACCCCUGUCCUCGCUGUGCUCCGGAGCCAUCAACACUCUCAGUGGGGAUACAAAGCCCCUGCUGGAAAACUAUUGGAAUUUCCCUUUGGCUGUACUGUCACUUUUUCCUCGAGGCCUGGAUGGGCGCUGGCCUCACAACCCAGACUGAAGCAGGACCAGCCCAUGGAAAAUGAGGACUAAAGGCUGACCUGUGGGACAGAUAAACACUUAAGAGGUGUGUCAGUCAUGCAAGAAGCUCACAUGGAAAAUGUUUGUUGUAUAUUUCAAGUACUGUAGUUACUUGGAUUUCAUUUGAUAUGGAUUGGGUUCAGUUUGAAUGGAAUAAAGUAGAUCAAGAG
ensembl:lncRNA